rnacentral:sRNA from 1 species
ACACAAACCGGCGGUGGCCGACCAAGGAGGGCGUCUCCCGUUGUUCUCAAUGCAUCUACAACUGUAAAGUUGAAGUGGUCGAACUUCUCGACAAAAUAAGAGAUCUGCGGGACAGCUGUCCUUGCCCACACAGCAGAAGGGGUGGAAGACAAAUAGAAUCAACCCCAGACGUAUCCCAGUUCCAUAUGGACGAGGAGAAGAAAGAAAAAAAAUAUUUGUAAUUUGUACUGUAAUAAAAUAAGAAAUGUUUUU